UUACGGCCAUAUCACAUUGAAACACCGAUUCUCGUACGAUCACAAAAGUUGAGCAACGUCGAGUCUGGUCAGUACCUAGAUGGGUGACCCCUUAGGAAUACCAGGUGGUGCAUG